GGAAGCGUGCCUGAAAAAGGACUACCUUGAUAGAGUAGAUAUGGAACCAUAAAACUCCCGCCUCCC
rnacentral:tRNA from 1 species